AACGAACAAUUGUGUUUAUUAACAAGGAAGAAAAAUCAGAGCAGCACAGUCUCCUAACCAGUCCCUCCUGUAGUCUACCCACCUAGCCCAUCUGCCAAAGACUGUAGACAAAUGCUCUCCUCCCUGCCCCCAUCCAGGAUGAGCUCCCAGGAAGUCAGGGCCCGCUGGAUAAAGAAGUCAGCAGAGGCCAAGGAAGGAAGGAGGAAACCGAGCUCCUUGGCCAGACAGGCUUGGCAAGUUGUUUGGCCCCUUACUCUCAAUGGGGAGGGCUCAACAUCCCAAAUCCGGCCCCAGUAGAGGAACCAAGCUGGUGUAUACUCCCUUCAGAAACCUCACUCGUGGGGAGGGGAGGCCAAGGCCAAGGCCACUGGGGGCAGGGUGGGACCUUGUCAGAGGUCGCUGGCCAGGGUCAGAGGCUG